rnacentral:rRNA from 1 species
AACGAACGCUGGCGGCAUGCCUAACACAUGCAAGUCGAACGAUCCCUUCGGGGAGAGUGGCGCACGGGUGCGUAACGGGUGGGAACCUGCCCUUAGGUUCGGAAUAAAUCAGAGAAAUUUGAGCGAAUACCGGAUAAUGUCUUCGGACCAAAGAUUUAUCGCCUUUGGAUGGGCCCGCGUUGGAUUAGCUAGUUGGUGGGGUAAAGGCCUACCAAGGCGACGAUCCAUAGCUGGUCUGAGAGGAUGAUCAGCCACACUGGGACUGAGACACGGCCCAGACUCCUACGGGAGGCAGCAGUGGGGAAUAUUGGACAAUGGGCGAAAGCCUGAUCCAGCAAUGCCGCGUGAGUGAUGAAGGCCUUAGGGUUGUAAAGCUCUUUUACCCGGGAUGAUAAUGACAGUACCGGGAGAAUAAGCCCCGGCUAACUCCGUG